GAUGUGUCUGGUGUGGGUUUCCCAAGCAAGGUUCCUUGGAAGAAGAUGUCUGCAGAGGAGCUGGAGAAUCAGUACUGUCCCAGCCGAUGGGUUGUCCGACUGGGAGCAGAGGAAGCCUUGAGGACCUACUCACAGAUAGGAAUUGAAGCCUUGCCUUUCUUCCUGUUCUUUCACGGAGGAUACUGGCAGAGCGGAAGAUUAUCUUGAAAACAAUCUUCCAGUAGUUCUGACGAUACUUGGAGCCUGGUCCACGUGCAUCCCACCUUGGGAAGCCUCUCCAAAGAGCUUUCGGAGCUGACACUGACAGCUUCAGUUUCCCCCAGCACCCAGGAGAGCCUUGCUGUGUCUGUCUGCCCGGCAAGAGUCCAUUCUCACUGCUGGGACACUCAUGAAAAUCUCCACGUCCUCCCUCUUCCCAGCCUGGAUGGAGCUCCAGGGCUGGGGAACGUCCGCAAGUCAAUGCUCAGAGAUGCCCGGAGCUGCCUCUUAGACUCGUCUGGCCCAUCUACCUGCUGACAGAGCAUGACAAAGAUGACGCUCAAAAGUAAUGCCAUUACUUCUUUUUUUUUUUUUUUUUUUUUUUUUUUUGAGAUGGAGUCUUACUCUGUCACCCAGGCUGGAGUGCAGUGGCGUGAUCUUGGCUCACUGCAACCUCCACCUCCCGGGUUCAAGCAAUUCUCCUGCCUCAGCCUCCUGAGCAGCUGGGACUACAGGCGCCUGCCAUCAUGCCUGGCUAAUUUUUGUAUUUUUAGUAGAGACGGGGUUUCAACAUAUUGGCCAGGCUGGUCUCAAACUCCUAACCUUGUGAUUCGCCCGCCUUGGCCUCCCAAAGUGCUGGGAUUCCAGGCGUGAGCCACUGCGCCCGGCCAGAAUGGCAUUAUAUUUAAAUAGUUCAUAAAGAAGCACAAAAGAAUAUUAUUUCAUAACAUGUAAAAAUUAUAUAAAACGUAAAUUUCCAUGUUGAUAAAUAAAGUUGUAUUGGAACAC
rnacentral:lncRNA from 10 species